CCGCCCGGGACAGUCAGUUACCCACCAGACGAGGGGGAAGGAGGAGCCACGUAGCUUGUUAUAGCGUACCUGUGUGUUUUAACCUGAACUUUCUUUACCUCGCGAAAUGGCCGGCCGUAUCAAGAGUUUCUAUGAGCUGAGUGCCAAGGCUCUUUCAGGCGCCGAGGUGUCCUUCAGCCGGUACAGGGGCAAGGUGGUCCUGGUGGAGAACACUGCGUCGCUAUGAGGCACAACGACGCGGGACUUCCUCGAGAUGAAUGAACUCGUAGAGAAGUUCGGCGACCGUCUUGUGGUUCUCGCCUUCCCCUGCAACCAGUUCGGCCACCAGGAGAACACCACCCACGAGGAGCUCAUCAAUUCCCUUCGUCACGUGCGCCCCGGAAACAACUUUGAGCCCAAGAUGGAGCUGUUCAGUAAGGUAGAGGUGAAUGGAUCGAGCGCCCACCAGGUGUUCAAGAUGCUGAAGGAGUCGCUGCCCCUGCCCGUCGACGACCCCGUGAGCCUGAUGGGGGAUCCUAAGUGUAUUAUCUGGAGCCCCGUCACCCGCUCCGACAUUGCCUGGAAUUUCGAGAAGUUCCUCAUAGACGCUGAAGGAAACCCUGUGAAGAGGUUCAGCAAGAAAUUCCCUACCAAGGACCUCGAGCCCCACAUCGAAAGCCUCCUUGAGUAGGACUCCGCAGGAUACCACAUAGGAUCCGACCCCUCUGAAGGACCCCCCGCCCCCCUGCACCUCCUACCCUCCUCCACAGCCCCGGGACACACGCGUAGGACUCCCAGGACCCCCCGUGAAGGACUUCCUGUAAACACCUGUGCGUGAGGGGAGGUCUGGAAGUAAUUGUGUCACCUGGGGAUCCUGCCGUGUGUCUGGGGGGUGGAAGGGGGGCUGGGGGUGGGGGGAAGGGGGUUUAAAGGGGGGGGUAAGGUACAAAGAUGGGGUAAAGUAAGUGAUUAAUGGUGUCUAGGCCUAAUGGUUUGACUAAUUAGAAAGGGACUGACAGGUGAGGUGUGAUUAAAGGUGUGUUCUCAGGUAUUCUUUGAGGUUAUUGUGAUAGAAAGAAGGAAAUUAACGAAGAAAUAGAAUAGAGAGAACGAAGGGAGAGAUACAGAAGACAUUAGAAGUAUCAGUUAUUGUGAGGAAAAAAGGGAAAUAAAAAAAUGAAAUGAAAGAGAGAAUAGAGAGAACGAAGUGAGGGAUACAUUCAUAGAAGUGUCAGAUGUUGUCUUGAAAAAGGGAAACAAAUGAAAAAAAUAAGAUGUAAGAGGGAAAAGAAGGGUGGAAUUGAGGGAUACAUUCACUGAGGAAGCAGAUACUGUGAUAAAGGAAGGGAAAUUUAUAAAGUAAUGUAAUGCAAAAAAUGAAAAGAGAGAAAGAAGUUAAGGAUACAUUCAUUGGAGUAUCAGAUGUGGAAUGUUGUUUUGAGAUGAGAAAUUAAGUAAACAAAUAUAUGUGAAAGAGAAAGAAUUGGAGAGACAGACCCGUUAGUGAUAAAUAAAUAAAGGAAAGAGUAAACAGCAGUAAAUCCACAAGAAAACAAGGAUUAAUAUAACAAUGAAGGAAGGGAUUUUGUUACAGAAAGGUAAAUUAUAGAAUACAGGUAAUAACAAUAUGCAACAACAACAACAACAAAGAAAUGUGUGAUAGAAUUAUAUAGAGGAAAAUAAUGUAACAAUGAAAAUAAUGAAACUAUAAAAGAAGGGUAUUUGUUACAGAAAGAUAAAUUAUAGAAAACAGGUAAUAACAAUAUGCAACAACAACAACAACAAAGAAAUGUGUGAUAGAAUUAUAUAGAGGAAAAUAAAGUAACAACGAAAAUAAUGAAACAAUGAAAGAAGGAAAUUUGUUACAGAAAGAUAAAUUAUAAAAAACAGCUAAUAACAAUAUGCAACAAAAAAAAUGUGUUAUAGAUUUAUAUAGAGGAAAAUAAUGUAUAUGUGAUAAAUACAAAGAAGAAAAUGUAAAAUAGGGAAAAAACGCCAUAUUUAGGGAAGAUUAAGAUUGCAAAACAAACUUGUACAAAAUAACAACUUAAGGUAAAGAGAAAAAACCAAAUCCAAAUCUAAAACGAAUGUAUCCAAACCUUUUCCUCUUGAUCCUAAAACAAACAAACAAACAAACUAGUAAACAAACACCAACAAAGAGAAGUAAAGCAAGCAAGUAGAUAUAAUAUAAAAAAAAGUAGAAUUAGUAACACAAACAGGAGUAACAUAUAUAAGCAACACAAACAUAAAUCACAGGUAAAUGCAAACACAAACACCUGGCCACAUACAACAUACAGGUAAACAUAAACACAAACACCUCAACACACGAAAAACAAUGAUAGUAACACAAACACCUUAAAACAUGCAGACAACACACAGAUAAACGCUAACACAAACGCCUGAUAGCACACACAAACACACAGGUAGAUAGAAACACAAACACAUCAACACA